GCUGGAAGAACUGUUCUAUUUUUGCAUCUGCAACCAGCUGCUGCUGCUCAAGAUUUGCUCUCCUUUUCCAAUGCAUGUAGUACAGGAUGAAGUGGCAGGCUGGAAGAAGUCCAAAGCCAGUUUCCGUCGGAUGAGAAUUCAUAGCAUCAUUGUGAGAUGGAGUUGAUUCAAGAACCACAUGCUGGAAAUACUGCACCAUAGUGACAUAAGGGGCAUCACAUUAAGGAAACCUAAUGAUUCUAUAUACACCUUCCCAAUGCCUGAUUGCAUAUGCCAACAAGAUGGAAUAUGAUCUAGGCGUUAGCAUACAUAACUGAGGGAUGCAUAUCCUCUGCCUUUGUGCAACAAAGGCACCAAAGGCAUGGCAUUGUUGACUGCAUGAUGAGGAUUUGAUGGUCAUGAUGAAAACUGGAGUGAAAUAAAGCAUUUGGCGCUUCUCAGGAGAUUCUGAAACCCUCUGGCAUACCCCAAACCGUUCGAUUCUGGAUAUAAUGGUCAAAAGGUGCCUAAUGACAAUGAAUUCCAUAGGAUUAGAAAUUGAGAGGAUGCGAGGGAUUUUGUAAAGUUAGUAAUCUGUAGGUAGUCCACCAUAUAGCAAUCUCCAUUUGUUCAAUGGGUUGUAGAUAUGAGUACAACCUGAGUGCCUCGAUGUAUAUUCGAAAACAACAAAGAAAGGAAAUUUUUAGUAUAUCAUUACUCA